CAGCUGUCCCGUGCUAUAUUGUGGUUCACUUAUCACAGCUUCACUGUGUUGCAGGUUUAAAAAAAUCUAAUUCCAUAUUGUGUUUUUUUCACUAUAUUGCAGGAUUUUGCAGAUGAAUACUAUACUGUACACAAUGGAAAUGCAGUUUGCCACUACUACUGACACAAGUUUGCCAAGGUGCCUUCUUAGUUACUCUGAGAGUACCCUUUGCAACUUCUGGGAAUAUAGUAGCCAUCUUCUAGACAACUGACUCCUAAAUUCAAGUGUGUGUUGGGAAG
rnacentral:lncRNA from 1 species